GACGAACGCUGGCGGCGUGCCUAAUACAUGCAAGUAGAACGCUGAAGAGAGGAGCUUGCUCUUCUUGGAUGAGUUGCGAACGGGUGAGUAACGCGUAGGUAACCUGCCUUGUAGCGGGGGAUAACUAUUUGAAACGAUAGCUAAUACCGCAUAACAAUGGAUGACCCAUGUCAUUUAUUUGAAAGGGGCAAAUGCUCCACUACAAGAUGGACCUGCGUUGUAUUAGCUAGUAGGUGAGGUAACGGCUCACCUAGGCGGCGAUACAUAGCCGACCUGAACGGGAGAUCGGCCAAACUGGGACUGGGGAAAGGCCCAAAACCCUAAGGGAAGGAGCAGGAGGGGAACAUCGGCAAAGGGGGCAACGCUGAACGAACAAAGCCGGGGGAGGGAAGAAGGGUUUCGGAUCGGAAAGGUCGGUUGUAAGGCAAGAACGAGUGUGAGAGUAGAAAGUUCACGCUGUGACGGUAGCUAAACAAAAAGCGACGGCUAACUACGUG
rnacentral:rRNA from 1 species